GACCUUCUGAUGAUAGGCUGCUGGAGUCUAGCGACACCACUGGGCCUUAUCUCAGCCCAGCCCUUUGAAGCAAGUUGUUGUCAGCCAUUGCUGCAGUCACUUUCUUAUCCCAAGAGAGGAAGCUGCCUCUGCAGGCUCGGAGGCCCUGUUCACAGUCUGGGUGUUUGAAAGAGCAGAAGGUGUUCCGAUUAUUGUUCACUACUGUGGUGUUAUCUCCAGGACACUGGAAAAUGAAGCAAGCAGAAAUCCAUGUUUUUCCCUUUAGGGAGGAAACUUUAAGCACACCAACUGCAGGUAUACUAACUCGAGAUUGGACUUUGUGGAAGCUACAGAAAAGGACCUGGUCAGAACAAGAGACAGUCUUUUGACUUGGUGUCUAAUGAGAAGUCUAACUCAUGUAACCUUUGAUGCAAUGACCAUCUGAUGAUGAUACUGACCUGCUGGUAACUUACUUGUUAGCUUGAGUAAAUAAUGGCCAAGGCAUAUGGGAGUUAACAGUGAGGCUGGCCUGACACCGUAAGAAAAACUGAGAAGAUUCAGUAUUUUAUUAAAUCAGCACUUUAAAAAAAACUGUGUCAUGUCAUUUGAAAUCUGACCCCGGGCUUAGUUUUCAGUUGGCUUUCCCAUUAUAAAAUCUUGAGAAAGAUAUGGAACAAAAAUCAGUUUUCAAUGACAAACAACAGUACAGAAUAGUACUUUAGGAAUAAUUUAGUUACAGCGGCUGGCUCACUUAAAAACUGUUCAUUCUACUUCUAUUCCAGGGAGACCCUCCACAAAAUCCACUACCUAGCACUUCACAACCACCAGGUGCUGAAUGUUGUGUUCACUAGUAAGUCUGCUAAAACAGGGGACGAAAGUGACUUCCUCCAAACCACCAGGUGUCUAGUAACAACCCAUAGGUCUCUGUGAGGACUGAUGAGAAGGGGCAGUUUGGAACUUGAAAAGUAACAAUGUCAGAUGCAGCAAUCCUGACUCAUGUUAAGCUCCUCUACUACUGAGCUACAGCCCUGCACCCUCGGCACUAGACUCCUACCCUGCACUUUUUCUAGCACUUCAUUACAGGAUACUUAGGUUGUAUCACCCCCUCAAGUAUGUGAUACUUGUCUGAGGUGCUGGGAAGGCUAAAACUGAAGAGGUCAAGAAUGAUUCUUAUCGGAGGCUUGGUCAACAUUUCCCAUAACUUUCAGAAAUAUCGGUACAUUUCCUUUCUGAGUUCUAUAAUCCCCAAGAAUCACAAGAAAGGAAUUUUGUGAAAGCAAUGAAGUUACAUGCAACAUACAACACAUCACACACCACACACACACACACACACACACACACACACACACACACACACACACACACACAGAGUUACCCUGCCUCCCACUCCUACAUAUAUCACACAAAUAAAAUAACCAGUUUAGUGCUGUGGAUAUCGUUCUGUAUAAAUAAAACACUGAUUGGCCAGUGGCCAGGCAGGAAGUAUAGGCGGGACAAGGAGAGAGGAGAACUCUGGGAAGUGGAAGGCUGAGUGGGAGAGACACUGCCAGCUGCAGCCAUGACAAGCAGCAUGUAAAGACGCCGGUAAGCCAUGAGCCACGUGGCAAGGUAUAGAUUUAUAGAAAUGGAUUAAUUUAAGAUGUAAGAACUAGAUAGCUAGAAGCCUGAGCCAUUAGGCCAAACAGUUUAAAUAAUAUAAGAGUCUGUGUGUUUUAUAAGUGGGUUGUCGGACGGGUAGGGUUUGGCAGGACCCGGAGAGCAAACUCUCCAGCUACAGUCUAGAACUGUGGUUGGUAUGUAACAUGAAAACAAAAUUUUUAAAUAAAAAAAGAAAAAAGAAAAAACAAACAAACCAGUCUACCUCACCACUGAUAUGUCCUAAAAUCAAACAUGUCAGAAGACAGAUAGGAAACUUUCAGGUAUUUAAUACUUCCCAAUUUCCCAUUGCAAUUCUAGUAUAAUGGAGAUUGCACUAUUCAACAAUCCUUAUACUGUGAAAAUUAACUAUUUAAUCACCAUUUAGUAACUUUUUACUAUAGUCACAUCUGACUACUAGAUAGAUGUCAAUGGGAAAAAAGGCAGUGAACACAAAUAGAAACAAUUUUUGUAAGCAUCCAAUGAGAUAGUAAUUAUUUAGAGGCAGACAUACAUUAUCAAGAGGCUGACUAUAUUUAACCAAGUUAUAAGAAGUUGAAGGUUGAUGAAAAGCCAGCUGUAGGCCAUGAUCUCUGGACAUCACAGUGAUACUCGCAUUUGUUAAUGGUUA